GCCAGCCGUACGAUCCAAAUUUUCAAUGGCUGCAGCAGGGUCCCCUAUUGCACUCCAGUAAUUACCUGUCAGAAGUUGCAACACCAAAUUCCCAAAAGCCCGGAUGUCUGAUGUGAUAUCAGGGACCGCUCGUCUGCUGGAUCAUGCAAUUUAACAGCGACCGCCAAUUGAUUGAUUCGGCCCCUAUACACAUUCUUCCCACGACAAACAGAUUUCACCCUGAAAUGCUCUGAGAAGUCUUCAGUGGCAGCUAUUAUUUCUUCAGGAGAGUACUCUCUGAAACCGAAUCCAGAGCCGUUCAGUCUCGAUACUUUUGCUAUUGCAUCCUUUUCUAUGCAGAACUCAAUCCUGCGCUUUCGCUCUCAAGUUCCAGUAUUUCAUCCCUCGUGCUUUCGAGCGUUUUGUUAAGCUCAACCCUGUUUACGAUUUCUGCUUGGAUGCAGGUCUGAAGCUCCUCAGCCUGUGGAAAACAUAGUUUUGGUCCUGAAUGAUGGAGUGAGAACUACUUUUUUUUUACAAGAUUGUGCCUUGUGCAUCCCGCAUUGUGCGUUUCAGAAGCUCGAUUCUCGCUGCAACAUCCUACAUAAUUUUUAAAUACUAUGAUUUUUAUAAGUAUGAUUAUACGGGACUGUGAUCUCCAAAUCAGUCUUAAACCUUCAACGCUGAACAACAUCAUUAUAAAAUAUAAUAUGGAGUUCAUUAUAAUGAAUUAAUAACAAACUUAUAAUGAACUUUGGAUUUUUAAUGCUUAUAAAUAUCUGAAUUCUUAGUUUGAUAUAUAAUAUAACCCUGAUCAGGCAUACAUCAAAUAAUGAGAAACCAG